CCCAAACAACUGUUGAUACUUCCUCGAGGUCGGUAUUAUUUUUGGCAACUACAUUUAGAUAACGAUGAAUGAAAAGUUAAUUUAAUUUUCUCGAAUUUUUAUUUAUUUAUUUUUAAAGCUGGGUAAUUAUUUUUUUUAAAAAUUGUCAUUGAACGCCACAGCCGGCGAUUGAGCUGCCAUGGCCAAAACUCCUGCGUAACCCUAAAGCUUUCUCAGUCUUCGUUCUUUCUCUCUAUUUCCCUGUACUCCUGCCCUUUCUCUCUCUAAAGCUAUGUCACCUGCGGCUACGAAUCCCAAAGCCGGAUGGGAAGUUCCGUUUAAGUAUGUUGUGGAGCUUGCAAGAGGCUCGGUGCCUGGAGUGCAUCAUGUCUAUUUGCUAGCCAGACAAGUAUUGUCACUGGAUGUAGAUUGGAGUUAUGUUGAAUCCACAGAUAUGCUGGCUUUUGAAAAUUCAGUGGAUCCAUGCAUGAUAUGAGGAAAGUAGGGGUUCAUAUGUCAUCUGUAAACAAUUUGGUCUAAAAGAUAAAUAUAUUCAGAAAGAACAUCACCACAUUGGUUAAAGCAUUUCAGGAAUGUUGGCGAUUAAGAGAACCUGCUGACCUUGUAUGAUUCUCCCAAUAACAUUUGAUUGGUGAGCAGAUUUUGCUGAUUGUGCUAACCAGCUGAAUUAGCUUUGCUAGUAAGGUAGUUUUAUAUGUGCUCCUUUUGUUCGUAUUUUGCAGACGGUACUUAGGGGUAGCCUCAAAGGUAUUGAUGAAAUGUCAAGCACGAAAGCACCUGUACUUCUCUCAAUACUUAAGUUGAUUAACAAAUAUCAUAUUUAUA